AGGACGAACGCUGGCGGCGUGCCUAACACAUGCAAGUCGAACGGAGCCCGCAAGGGUUCAGUGGCGAACGGGUGCGUAACACGUGAGGAACUUGUCCAUCGGCGGGGGAUAGCCGGCCCAACGGCCGGGUAAUACCGCGUACGCCGUCCGGAGCGCAUGCUCUGGCCGGGAAAGCAGCAAUGCACCGAUGGAGAGCCUCGCGGCCUAUCAGCUAGUUGGUGGGGUAAUGGCCUACCAAGGCGACGACGGGUAGCUGGUCUGAGAGGAUGACCAGCCACAUUGGGACUGAGACACGGCCCAGACUCCUACGGGAGGCAGCAGUGGGGAAUAUUGCGCAAUGGGCGAAAGCCUGACGCAGCGACGCCGCGUGUGGGAUGACGGCCUUCGGGUUGUAAACCACUGUCGCGAGGGACGAAGAUCUGACGGUACCUCGAAAGGAAGCACCGGCUAACUCUGUGCCAGCAGCCGCGGUAA
rnacentral:rRNA from 1 species